UAAGAGAACGAGAUUGCUUGUAAGAGAUAGGGUUCUCAUUUCAGUAUUGAGUUAGUUUAACUUCUGGUCUUUCCUUUUUCUUUUUUCCUUUUUAUCUAUUUGGAGAAGGUACUACCUUAUAGAUACCUUCUAGAUCUCAAUGUCCGUAUAUAUUUAUAUACACAGUUCUCUUCCAUCGUCAUCAAAAUCUUGUCAUGGAUCUGAUCUGAAACUUGAGAUCUAGUCUCUAGAUUUUUUUGCAGCUAAUUAUUUUCUUUUUCCUAUUUUUGUUAACGACUCAUAAGCUUCUAAGUUCCUCAUAUGGAACUUUUUUGUACUAGAUUCAAUUGUUUACAUCUACUUCAUAUAUAAUUUUAUUUUACUUUGAAAAUUAAUUGAAUUUUUUUUCUAUGAAGGUGAACCUUUGAUGCUAGGGUUUUAAGGGGUGGAGCUCCUUUUAGUCCAAAUAUGGAUGUUGCUAUGUUGAUAGAGCUGCUUAGCUAUGGAUCCCUCAAUUCUACCCAUCUUGUUCUUUGUGGUAGUUUUGUGGCUUCCAUAUCUAGGGAGCCUUAUCACCUUUAGUUUAAUCUUUCUUUGGAUUGAAGGGAGCUCUACAUCUUGCUCUC
rnacentral:lncRNA from 1 species